ACAUGCAAGUCGAACGCGAGCAGCAAUGCUCGAGUGGCGAACGGGUGAGUAAUACAUAAGUAACCUGCCCUAGACAGGGGGAUAACUGCUGGAAACGGCAGCUAAGACCGCAUAGGUAUGGACACUGCAUGGUGACCAUAUUAAAAGUGCCAAGGCACUGGUAGAGGAUGGACUUAUGGCGCAUUAGCUGGUUGGUGAGGUAACGGCUCACCAAGGCGACGAUGCGUAGCCGACCUGAGAGGGUGACCGGCCACACUGGGACUGAGACACGGCCCAGACUCCUACGGGAGGCAGCAGUAGGGAAUUUUCGGCAAUGGGGGGAACCCUGACCGAGCAACGCCGCGUGAAGGAAGAAGGAAUUCGUUCUGUAAACUUCUGUUAUAAAGGAAGAACGGCGGAUAUAGGGAAUGAUAUCCGAGUGACGGUACUUUAUGAGAAAGCCACGGCUAACUACGUGCCAGCAGCCGCGGUAAUACGUAGGUGGCGAGCGUUAUCCGGAAUUAUUGGGCGUAAAGAGGGAGCAGGCGGCGGCAGAGGUCUGUGGUGAAAGACUGAAGCUUAACUUCAGUAAGCCAUAGAAACCGGGCUGCUAGAGUGCAGGAGAGGAUCGUGGAAUUCCAUGUGUAGCGGUGAAAUGCGUAGAUAUAUGGAGGAACACCAGUGGCGAAGGCGACGGUCUGGCCUGUAACUGACGCUCAUUCCCGAAAGCGUGGGGAGCAAAAAGGAUUAGAUCCCCUAGUAGUUCCCCGCCGUAAACGAUGAGUAUUAAGUGUUGGGAGUCAAAUUUCAGUGCUGCAGUUAACGCAAUAAGUACUCCGCCUGAGUAGUACGUUCGCAAGAAUGAAACUCAAAGGAAUUGACGGGGGCCCGCACAAGCGGUGGAGCACGUGGUUUAAUUCGAAGCAACGCGAAGAACCUUACCAGGUCUUGACAUCCGGAUAAAGACCUCAGAGAUGAGGGGAUAGAUAUAUCCGAGACAGGUGGUGCAUGGUUGUCGUCAGCUCGUGUCGUGAGAUGUUGGGUUAAGUCCCGCAACGAGCGCAACCCUUGUCGCUAGUUACCAUCAUUAAGUUGGGGACUCUAGCGAGACUGCCAGUGACAAGCUGGAGGAAGGCGGGGAUGACGUCAAAUCAUCAUGCCCCUUAUGACCUGGGCUACACACGUGCUAUAAUGGAUGGAGCAGAGGGAAGCGAAGCCGCGAGGUGAAGCAAAACCCAUAAAACCAUUCUCAGUUCGGAUUGUAGUCUGCAACUCGACUACAUGAGGUUGGAAUCGCUAGUAAUCGCGAAUCAGCAUGUCGCGGUGAAUACGUUCUCGGGCCUUGCAC
rnacentral:rRNA from 1 species